rnacentral:lncRNA from 1 species
CUCUGGUCGAAAUGGGUGCGUUUCUAACGAAAUACAUCGCGCUUACGGAAAGAGGGUAAAAAUAAUACAAAGCAUCCUUGUUUAUUUUGGCUGUCUUUUCUUCAGCUCUUUUUAAGAAGAAACAUUUUAAGAAAUAAGACAUUCUGGAAACAGUCGUCUUUCCCUCAGUGAGCCCAUCGCCUCCUUCCUCGGAGGUAAGCACCACCGUAAAUAUGGUGUUUAUCAUCCUCAUGCGUGUUUUACACUGUGCUGCAUAUGUACGUGCCCAGAAACAAUGCAGGGUGUGCUCUGCGUGUUUCCAAACUUCCCACACAUGGUCCCAGAACGGGCGCCUCCUUCUGCGACUUGCUCUCUUCCACUCAACGUGUUGUUUUUUUUAAUUUUUCAGGACACGUCCAGGCUGAUUUGUAAAGCUCUGCGUCGUGCAUUUCCCCUGCAGUAUAGUAUUUCAUUGUGGAAACAGACGAGAUUUAACUUAUCUUAUUGGUUUCCAAUUUUCCACUCUCACCAGCAUGAUCAUCCCCGCCUCGCCCGCGUGUAAGAGUGCCUUUUAAGAACACGCAUGUGGGGACUCUCUCCUGGACACGUCUGCCUCCCCGGCCGGACACAGAGCCGUCACCGCCGCGCCUCCGGGGCCCAGUACGACGGUGGGCGUGUGGGGUUCACCGAGCUGACGUGCGGAACCGUGAUUUCCCAGCCCCUGCACUUACAGGUGAGGAGUGAACCCCCCAGGAAAGGGGCACCUAGCCCUGGGCCCCUCCCCAGCUCUCUGGCCCAGAUCCCCAGCCAGACUCCCGAUCCACACGAGGGAGGGAAAAGGCAAAGCGGCGUUCCAGAGACCUUACCUGGACGCUGGGGCUCACGGUGCGGAGUGGCCUCACACCUGGCCCCCCGCCCCAUGAGAUCUCAGCCCCGCACUUCCAGAUAGAGACCUCGAUCUGGGCACCCUGCACCCAGGCCGUUCUGCCCUUCGUGGGCUGGUUCUGUGCAGCAGGAGUCCUGCCAGGUCCGUCCUGGGGGAGACCCGGGUCUGGGACCCGAGAGACCCUGGCACACGGCCUCGAGUGGAGCGCGGGCCCCUGCGGCGCACGACUGCGGCGGAGUCCCCAGCCCCCUCCUUCCCGCCUGCACGGCCCUGGGUGAGUGACCUCGCCGCACCGCGCUCCACUCUCUUCAUCUUCAAAACGAGGCUGGCAGGGCCCCGGGUGGCCCAAGUGGUUAAGCAUCUGACUCUGGCUUAGGUCACUGUCUCCCGGUUCCUGAGGUCAAGUCCCACCUCUCUCUCUCUGCCUCUCCUGGGAUUCUCUCUGCCUCUUGCUCACUUGUGCGCUCGCGCUCUCUCUCUCUCUCAAAAAAAAUACAAAUAAAUAAGUAAAACGGGGUUGGCGAGCCCAACCACCCCACCACGGUACUGGGGGGACCCGGCAAGUUCUUCUGCACAGAGCAGUUCACGCCGCACCUGGCACAUGCCAGGGCUUAACCACCACCCUCCCCUCCGCGUUCCACGCAGGCAGGUGCAGCACCCGAGCACCCUGUGCACGUGGCCCCCCGCCCACUCUGACUCUGCGGCCCCGGGCAGGUGCUUCCCGGAGGCCCCAGUUCCGCACCUGAACAUGGGGACAGCCCCACCGGGACACCACUUUGUCCCAAGGAUGCGAAGAGCCGGAACGAGGCCGGGAUGGGGUGAGCUGAGGAGCCGAGCGCCUGGAGCUCUCACCGCCCACCCGUCCGUAGCUGCCGGGGGUCCCGCCUCGUCCUGUUCAUCGUGGCCCACGCGCCACGUGCAGACGCGAAAUACGUUCCAUCGUUAGAACACGAAGUCACAUCUGUGACAGCGCCUGGCUCCAUACCCGGCCCGUCGCAGGGGGUGGGGGGGUGCCUGGGGGGGGGGGGGCAGUCACCGGAUCUCUCGCGGCCUCGGUCCGCUCACCUGGAAAUAGGACGGACCGCUCUGUGCCGCACAGAGACCUUGGGACACUCAAAGCACAGCACACGACACGUGUGCCAUAAACUGGAGAAGCCACAAGACAAACUGAACUCACUGAUACGGGAGGAAGAGACUGCUCAGUUUGUCUUUGGUCCCUGUAUGUUUAGGCUCGGAGCCUGAAGGCCGCCCGGUGAGAAUUCCUGGGAGAUUUAAGGACAGAC